AGAGUUUGAUCCUGGCUCAGGAUGAACGCUAGCGGGAGGCCUAACACAUGCAAGCCGAGCGGUAUUGUUUCUUCGGAAAUGAGAGAGCGGCGUACGGGUGCGGAACACGUGUGCAACCUGCCUUUAUCUGGGGGAUAGCCUUUCGAAAGGGAGAUUAAUACCCCAUAAUAUUUAGAAUGGCAUCAUUUUAAAUUGAAAACUCCGGUGGAUAGAGAUGGGCACGCGCAAGAUUAGAUAGUUGGUGAGGUAACGGCUCACCAAGUCAACGAUCUUUAGGGGGCCUGAGAGGGUGAUCCCCCACACUGGUACUGAGACACGGACCAGACUCCUACGGGAGGCAGCAGUGAGGAAUAUUGGACAAUGGGUGAGAGCCUGAUCCAGCCAUCCCGCGUGAAGGACGACGGCCCUAUGGGUUGUAAACUUCUUUUGUAUAGGGAUAAACCUACCCUCGUGAGGGUAGCUGAAGGUACUAUACGAAUAAGCACCGGCUAACUCCGUGCCAGCAGCCGCGGUAAUACGGAGGGUGCAAGCGUUAUCCGGAUUUAUUGGGUUUAAAGGGUCCGUAGGCGGAUCUGUAAGUCAGUGGUGAAAUCUCACAGCUUAACUGUGAAACUGCCAUUGAUACUGCAGGUCUUGAGUGUUGUUGAAGUAGCUGGAAUAAGUAGUGUAGCGGUGAAAUGCAUAGAUAUUACUUAGAACACCAAUUGCGAAGGCAGGUUACUAAGCAACAACUGACGCUGAUGGACGAAAGCGUGGGGAGCGAACAGGAUUAGAUACCCUGGUAGUCCACGCCGUAAACGAUGCUAACUCGUUUUUGGUUUUUCGGAAUCAGAGACUAAGCGAAAGUGAUAAGUUAGCCACCUGGGGAGUACGUUCGCAAGAAUGAAACUCAAAGGAAUUGACGGGGGCCCGCACAAGCGGUGGAUUAUGUGGUUUAAUUCGAUGAUACGCGAGGAACCUUACCAAGGCUUAAAUGGGAAAUGACAGGUUUAGAAAUAGACUUUUCUUCGGACAUUUUUCAAGGUGCUGCAUGGUUGUCGUCAGCUCGUGCCGUGAGGUGUUAGGUUAAGUCCUGCAACGAGCGCAACCCCUGUCACUAGUUGCCAUCAUUAAGUUGGGGACUCUAGUGAGACUGCCUACGCAAGUAGAGAGGAAGGUGGGGAUGACGUCAAAUCAUCACGGCCCUUACGCCUUGGGCCACACACGUAAUACAAUGG
rnacentral:rRNA from 1 species